GAGAGGUGGUAGUGUGAGUAUGCUGCAAUAAAAUAACAGCCAGACUAUGAAGAGGCAACUGAGAGAAACUAUGCUCCAUUAUCAGUAGAACAGGAACACUCUGUGGAAGAAGUUUGGCUGCAAUAGCUUCCUGGUUGAGUGACCCUGUACAAGCUCCUAAAUCAAAAAGCUAGAUUUUUACCAACUAUUUUGGUAUUUUUUACAGCACAUUUUCAUUUUAUCUUAAAAAAAUAAAAUAAAUAUCAAAUAACUGUCGUAAUAAAACGAUAUUUAAAAAAAAAACACCGGACAUUUUGCCUUAGGAAUAAAAUUUAGUAAAGGAACUACAUCUAGAAAUGUAUAUUGAAAUGAGAAAAAGACCAAGUAUUGACUUCUGCACUUUUUCUUUACUCAUUUACUAUGUACGAAAAUCUGAUGAUAAAGGGCAUGUCUCAGUGAAAACCUAUCUCCUUCGGUGGACCAGAGGUUAUCUUGACUGCAGAGAUGAAGCUUACCUACACCGAAAUGUUAUGUGUGAAUGCAUUUGAUUGGUUGGUAUCGAGGUUAAAUUCUUCAACUAUUGAUCAAACCAAUUAGUGCUUUGAAAGAGAUUUUAUACAUGAAAAAUAACCAUGUUUAAAUUUUUUUCUUUGCUGAUUUUUUUUAUAAAGAUAAUGACCAUCACUUACUUCUCAAUAGUCAGUUAUUUUCAGUAGAUAUCUGAACUGAAAGAGAUUAAUGACUGAUAUUUGCCAUAUUUAAUUAGUUACAAAUAAUUUAAAGUUAAUGGAACUAAAAAAUUUAUUAUGCUGAACUUCAUUAGGAUUUACAAAUUUUAUGACUAAUUUGAUAUCAAAGGAUAUCUCAGAUAAAUCUACAUGAUUACUAUUAUCAUUGUAAAGGUUAAUUUUUUUGUAUAUAAUAAGGUUUAUUUCACUGGAUACUAAAGGCAUGAUCUCUGAGUAAAGAUGUGUUUAAAAAAAGGAUCUAUAAUUUUUCACUGUUUAAGAUAAUCAGAUACCAAAUGAAUGUUGUUAAUGAAAAUCUUCUGCAAGAGUGACCUAAAGUGUUUCUAGCUUUUUACAAUUAAAAGAGUAGAACAGGAAAGAAUUGAAAAGCACUGUGAAUGAUUUUCAUUGUUAUUGAUAAUGUUGUUGUCAUUCCUUGUGUUAUUAUUUACACAAACUUCAUAGGUUAAAGUGAUUUAUUUACAUUACUGAAAAAUCACUUAUUCUGUCUACUUUUACUUAAUGAACAAUGAAAGAAGAAAAACCAAUAAGAACAAUGCAACUGAACAGAGGAUACAUUUCAUGUUUAUGAUUUCCAAAUUUUGUGAAACAAUGAGACUCAAGUGAUUUAAACAAUAUUUUAUUACUACCACUUCUUUUGGAACCAGCUGUACUUCAUACUAAUUCCAACAUCCUAUAUUUUGUGAUAUACAUACCUAUACACAGAGAAGGUGAGGAGAAAGACUAUGAGAGACAUAUACAUACAUAUAAGCAUGCAUCCUCACAUUUAUCCAUCAGUAAAAUACCAAACUGGAAAAACAAAUCUUUACUGUAAUAUGGAUGAUGUGCAGUGGAAGCAAGCAAAUAAUUUAAAACUGCUUGAUUUCUACAGGAGGUCAUGUAAUUCCAUUUGCAUUACUAAUGCUCUUUGGAAAAUGAUGAACAUCACACGCUCUUUAUAUCCCCACUGUACAGACAUAAUUUGUUAUGUGUCUAGCAUUUUCUCUGCUUAGAAUUUUUGCUAACCAAAAAAGAGAGAUCUCAGUGAAAUACUGAUUUAGAAAAAUUAGUUCAAUAUCAGCAAGCAAAGAUUUAAAUCUUCAUCGAUAUUUUAAUUUAUGCUUCUCUGUGCUGGCAGGCCUUGGUUGAGUCUACCACACACUAUAUCACCAACCAACUCAAUAUUCUGAGAUGUCAUUGAGGCCCACAAGAAGGACCAUCUUAGCAGCAUUAUAGGCCCCAGGGCAAAGCAAUGCACUGGGUCCUAUAGUAUUUGUUUAUUGGCAGCAAUCAACAGCAUACAUAGAUCAGAAGUGGGACCCUUGGGCAACUGCAUACAAACCCACAAUGAGAUCUAACCUCACCACUUUGUCUAAUGUCUUCCUCUGUCAAAAGUACUCUUCACUGAUAGUAUAUGUUAUUGAUGAUGUUGUCAUUCCUGGUGUUCAUAUUUACAUGAACUCCAUAGGUUAAAGUGAUUUAUUUACAUUACUGAAGAAUCACUUAUUCUGUCUACUCUUAUUUAAUGAGCAAUGAAAGAAAAAAAAAACUAAUAAAAACAACGUAACUGAACAGAGGACACAUUUUAUGUUUAUGAUUUCCAAAUUUUGCGAAACAAUGGGGCUGUUAUACAUAUGGCAUUUUUCUAAUAUGGCUGUUAUUCAUAUGAUUGUUAUACGUAUGGCACUUUUCUAACCUGGUUGUUAUACAUCCACUUGCACUUUAAUUGCAGCAGCUGUACUAGUUUUUAUAGUUCAAUGAAAAGCAUAUUAAAGUUUCUUGCUACUGCUGUAGUAGUUUUAGUAUACAAAUAAAAUUAUAAGUUUUACAAUCAACAAAUGAGGUGGAGGAGCUCAAACAAAUGCUGGGAUGUUUUCUUUCUGACAUUCUAAUAGUAUAAAUUUAAGGAAUCACUAUUCUACUCUCAGAAAUAUUUUAAGAUAUUCAUGUGAUUCACUGAAAUGACAAUGAUAAACAAAAGAAAGAAAGAAAGAAAGAAA